GGGCGGGGGAGAGGGCUGGGAAGGGCACGAGGGGCCGGGCUGUCGUUGAAAGGCGUUGGCCGUUGGCGAGCCCCUCCGCAGCCUUCUUUCCGUUAAGUUCACUGCUGGAGUCAAGGUUGGCCACACGCCCUCAAGGCUGCAGCAGGCUUGCCGGUCGAGAGGCUGUGGAGGUUGGAGACUCGAAAAACUAAACUGUUGCCUAGGCCUUGAACUGUAGCAGAGCCAUAUAUUCUUGUGGUGACCGUGGCCUUAGGAAAAGAAUUCUUCCUCUAGGAUGAUUAGGUUGGAGCUGUGCAAGCUUUAUUAAUAUAAUGCAACCGGCCUAUGGGGUGGCCUUGGAGGAACCGCGGGAACAUUUCAAACCUUAUCCUGGGCAGGGGGUUAUAUGGUGGAUGUCAAAUUGGGUAAAAUUUGUAGUUACACCCAUAAAUACAGAGUUUGAGCUGAUGACUUCUCUUUAGCUCAAGGUUGAGGAUUUUUAGCCAAGUUUUCUGAUUCCAAGAGGGGAGCAGACAUGCCUUCUGCUAUGAGUGACUGAUGGGAUCAUUGCCAUCAGUUUGGUGACAGCUCCACAUAGUUAGGGUUUCAUGGACUCGGCCUCUGCACCCAGAUUCCUGUCCCCAUGAGACAAGCCUAGGGGUUCCCGUCGUCAUUCAGGCCAUCUCUAGUUUCCUUCCGUUCCUUUCUUUUCCCUAUCAAAGCCCUCUCCUUCUUCAUCUCUUAGGAUACAAUAGUUUAACCUCUCUUCCCCUUCUUACUAGAUAUGAGGAAUUCCCCAAAUGACUUAUAAGUCACUUUGAUGUCAUUGGAGAAGUCACUUGGUUAUGGUUAGGGUUACAAUUAGGGUUAACAGUUAAGCAUGCUGUUAAGGUUCAGGGGAUGAGACAAAAGAAUAUUGCCCUCCAGUGGGUUCCCUUCCUAGUGGGAGGAAGAGUCUGGUGUCUUAAGUAAGGCAGACAUUCUGGCUUAUAGGUUAAGUGGGGUAUGUGAGCUGCAUUAAGGCUCUGAAGUUUGUCUGUUGAUGAGGCAAAAUUUGUGGUGGUCCUGCACUGGAGCCCUGAAAUGAUAUUGGACUGGAUCUGGAUCUAGGUUUACCAAGAGUUGCUGGGCAUUAUGGGAUUGGGGAUGGGUGUUUUUCCCAGAAACCAGAACUGGGGAAAUAAAAUAGAUCAUACCUGGGGUAGUGAGAAAGGCUGCCUUUAAGUUUCUGUGGUGGGGCCGCUCUUAGAACUUGUUUUAAAAUAGGUUAAGCCGGUAUAGGAACUGUUCACAUCCAUGGUAAUAGUCAUUAGAAAAGACUUAACUGCAGUCUUCAGGGACCCAAAGGAAAAGAGGAUGGCACAUCACUGCUGAUAGUUGUCCCUGACCUAAGAGACACAUGUGGGCUUACAGGAAGACCAAUUCUUCCUUCCUGAAUUAUUACCCUGUCUCUGUAACUGGGCCUGGAAGAUGGAAACAAUAUUGCAGACAGAAUGAAAUGGCAGUCAAAUGCAAUUUUAAGGGUUGUUAAGAGUUUGGGAUCCAAUCCUGAGACUGAAUGCCAUUUAGCAUUUAAGGUCUGGGAAGUGGGAGUCAGAGUAGCAGGAGUCUGGUGGAGAAGGGGACAUAUGAUAUUCAUCGUUAGGCAGUUUGUCACUAUAAAUGGCAUCUCUGUGGUCUGCUUACAUCUUCUGCCUAACAGGAAGGAGCCUGGAUGUAUGAUGUCAGCUAUGCACCCACGCUGUAAACUGGGGAAGUCUUUCUUGGUAAUUUGCUGCUUUGGCCUUUUAGCUCUCCCCUCCGUGUUUGUACCAGCAAAGUGCCUAAAGUUAGCCUGUGCUGUUGUCCCCCCACUGAAAACAUGCCCUCUAUGCUGUUAAACCAGAUGAAGUGGAAAAGAGUGUUGGAUUCUAGUGGGAACCUAGGGUUGAAUUUGUAAGGAUUGUAAGUCUUGUCCCUUCCUCCAGUUGUGAGAUCAUCUGAUGAGGCCAGACACUUUUGGAACCCAGAUUAGAACUGGGAAGAGUAAGUCUGCAGAGGCAGCAGCCCCGAAGGAGGUUGCAUUAUGAUCAGAAAAUGGGGAGGGACAUGAGAUGCGUAGCAGUGGUGCUGAGCAAGGGCUUGGCUGCAGCCUAAGUUAGGAUGCUGGCUGGGGCCUUUGCUGUCACUCAGAACAGGGCCUCGAGCUGCCUCUUUGGAGCAGUGUGCAGAAAAAGCACCAGGUAUCCUUGUGUUGGAUGAGGAGACAUACCCCUGAAAGCAUCAGUUCCCAGGUUGAUGGUAACUAGAAGAGUUUUUAGGGUUACUUUGAAGAAGCCAGAGGAUAGGCUAGAAAAUACCUGAAUGGAAAUGUCUUAUUCUUUGUGAUAAGAAAAAGGCAGGGGAAAGAAUGAUUUCUAUUUACUGAACCCUUGGGCCUUGCUUUUGUGGGCCUCUUCUUUUUGGCUAUUGCUUCAUUUUUCAUCAUUUUGAGGUAUUCCUCUUUUUAGAAUUUUAUUUUCUUCUCACUUGCUUUAGGUCUGUCAAUCCUUACCAUAAAGGAAAAAUAAAUGAGGCCAUGAAUGAUUAAAAAACUAGAGUAAGGAGAGGAGAAACAAGGAAAAUUGUAGAGAAUAAAAACAUUAGGGAGUUUAGGUUACAACAGCAGAGAGAGGAGAAAAACUUGGGGGCAGGGGAAUUAGGAGGAAAAAUUGAUUCAGGUUAGAGAUUAUGUGAAAGAAAAGAUAGAGGAAUAUUGAGGAAAGGGCGAACGCUAAGAAGAGCGAAGCUGCUAGGGCAGAAGCAUAAGAAACCCACACGCAAAACAGGAAGAACUAAACCUCCUUCCCUCUGUCUCUACUUUGCUGCUUUCCUCCCUGCUUUCCUUCCUACGGUGAAUGUUGACUACAUGCCGAGUCCUGUACAGGCACUGAGGAUAAAAGAUGAGCAAGAGUCCUUCCCUGCUCCAUAAAAGCUCAUAUGUAGUGGGGAGAUAAUGUCUAGGCUGUCUGUAGGAUUGUGGAGUGAAAAGUGGGUUUCCAGGAACUCCCUUUUCCAUGUAUAGGUAAAGAGGGGACUAAGAAAAUGAAGACUUCUGCCCCUGGAAUGGAUCCUGAAGUUUUCUCUUUUAAUUGUUAUUGGCCUGAGGGUGGAAGACCAGCUGAUAUGUAUGGUCUAAGGAUUCAGACUCUCCUCACUGCUUCUUUUUGCAUUGUAUUUUGGGGAAAUGUUAUAGGCACCCGGCAGGGUUCUGAAGUGAGUCAGGGAUAGGAUGUUUCCUGUGUCUGGAUGCCACACCCACCAGGCACCGCGAGAGGGGUCAAUGAUCACAUCUUUCCCUGAAGUACUUCUGUGAGGUUGCAGGUCAUUCAGCAGCAACGCACCUUGGGCUCUUGCUUGGCUGUCAUGCUAUGUGCAAAAGAGAGUAAAAGAAGUUGUGAGAAAAUUGGGAAGUACAAAGAAGGAUGAAGAAGCAUCUUUAUCCCCAAAUAACAACAACAACAACAAAAUAAUAAUAAUCUGAAGACGAACAACUUGGUAUCCAAUUUAUGGGUUCCUAAAGUCCAGGAAGCCCCAAAACCAGAGAACACAUACCCCGCCCCCCACCCCCCACCCCCACACUUUUGUAGAAGAGACCGCUAAUAUUUAAGGGUUGUUAAGAGUCUUUGCUGAGACUGAGGAGGGAGGCGGUGGGACAGAGCAGAAAGAGCCGAGGUUUUCACCCCUUGAUGGGAGAGCCUUUCGCGGGGAGGUACUUUUAUGAAGGUAUUUAAGAUCUUCCAUAUCCUUGCAGGUGGAAGAGUAUACAGAGUUUCCAGAACAAUAGCCUUCUGAGAGACUAAAGGUUUACUAUGCAUCUAGGUUUUUAGUUUUAUAAAGCAGACAUUGAAAAGUAACUGAGUUUUGGGCAACAGGGUUGGUGGGUUUUGAGUGGAUCUGGGAACUCUUUCCUACAUGCUCUGUUUUGAAGGUAUUCCCUUCUGUUGAAGCAAAUUGAGAGAGGGCCUCAAGGUCCCUGGCCAGAGCCCAAAAGACCCUGGAACUAAUGUACUGAAUGGAUGGACGCUCUAACCUAUAGACACAAAGUCGGAUGAAGGACAUUGGCUGUACUGCUGUCAUUUUACCAAAUAUUUUGAGUGUUUUGUGUACCAAAGUCCUGUAAUGAUGGAGAGCAUGUUAGGUUGGGCAGAUGUCUUCACUACAACAAGAGCAGCACCACCGUAUUUGCUCCAUUACCAUGGGCCUUUGAAAACUUUCAAAAAAUUGCCACAGUCCUUGGACAGUAUUUAGUUUUCAUGGACCCACGCCAGCAACAAUGGCAUAAAGUCACAAGAGAUUCCCCAUCUUCAUUUCUUUGAGCAGAUAGCCAAAGGAAGAGUUCUGGGAGUGUGACCAGAGACUUUACAGAGAUUCUGAAAUCUCUGACUUAUGAAUUGAUUAGGGGUUCUCACCUUGCUUUGCCCUACUGGAGGUGUCUCUCUGGCCGUUUAGCAAGUUUCCUGACAUCUUAGUCUUCCUAUGACUCUUCCAAGUCUUUUUCUAGCUCUCAUAGCUCCCUUUUGGUAUACAUUAUGCCUUUCCUAAGAUGUUAUUGGCUGUUCUCACAACUAAGCUGUUAUUUGGGAAAGGCCAGAUAUUUCCUAACUACGGAAAAAACAAAAAACAAACCUGUGUACCUCACCACUUCUGGCAUCUGGUUUUGUUUUCCUUUAAAUGGUGUUUAGUGUCUGGACUCCAAAGCCUGUAAUUCUAAUGACAUUUUUCUGGUAACCCAGCCUGGGAGUAAUGCUUGCAGAGUAUGGUGACCCAAGGACUAAAGAGCAGAUAAAACCAAGGAGGGUCUUGGAAUGUAGUAACGGAGAAACCAGACCCUUAUUGUCCUUCCCUCCCCCAUAUUGUAACUAUUAAUGGAUUUCAGGUCCUCCUGAGCAGUACAACCUCUCUCCCCUCCUACUCGCCACAGGGAGAAGGUAUUUGCCUUACUCUUCCCCCACCCAAUAUACGUGUCUCAUCCAAUCAGCAAAUGACCCACAAGACCCUUGUCCCACUCCUUGUACCCUGGGUAUAAAAGUGGACUAAGGAUCCCUGUUCAAUGCCUGUUCUCCCUUGAGCUGCCCGCUGUUCUAACAGCAUCUCCCAUUCUAAUAAAUUAUUUCCCUCUCAUUCUGUCUCAUGUCUGGAAACUCUUUUCCAAGCUGUGCCUGGACCAUGACACAGAGUGCCACUAUAAACAGCAUGAUAGGGCGCCAGUCUGCAGUCUUACAGUCCUCUCCUACCUGCUGUUCAAUCUUAAAAAUAACUGCUUGUUGAAAUGGGUUGCCAAUGAGUUUUCCCUGGGUAGAACCCUCAUUCCAAAAUGGAAAAUAUUAUAUGUGAAACUGUUUUGAACAGGGAACAAAAAGCCUAUGUUCUGGUCCAGGCUGCAGACUUAUUAGCUGUGUGAAUUUUGGCACAUCUUCAGAUUGCUUUGGGUUUUGGUUUCCUCAUGGGGAAAAUUGGGAUAUUAUACCUACCUCACAGGGUUGUUGUGAGGAUUAAAUGUGCUCUAUAAUAUGUCAUACCAUAUAAAUAUUUGCAACUUUUUGUUAGGAUAUGAGUGCUUUAAGAAUAUUCCCUUGCUACAUAGCAGAUAUGCUGACAUUUCUGCUAUCAGAUUAAGGAUUUUCACUGUCAUGUAUUGUAUAGUUGUCUUUGGAACAAAAUUUUAUGUUUUCAGGUAGAUAUUUCUGGGUGGAAAGGAUUCAUAGCUUUCAUGUUUCCUAAAGAAGGGAUUCAUUGCCCUAAAAAUGUUAAAAUUCAGCACUUCGGAAUUGGAAAGUUGGAUUCAGUAACAGAAAUUUAUUGCUUCCAGAAGGUCCCUUUUAACACAUCUGCAGUAGUUGCAACGUUUUUUAGAUAGUCAAAUUCUUAAUGUGGCCUGAUGACUAUACAGAAUAUUUGAAAUCAGGGCUGAAAAUCUUGGACAUAUUGUAUAUUGUCAUGGUAGCAAUUAGAUUAUCCAAUUGCCUACAGUGUGAGGGUACGUGUAAAACAAAUUAACUUAUUUAGCCCCAUGAAAGUCACCUUACCUCAUAGAAUCUGUUCCCUUAUUUGUGAAGUAAGAGAUUCGACCUUAAAGAUUUUCAAGGUUGAAUUCUAGGUUGAAUUCUCUAGGAAAGUGAGACCAAAGUUUGACUUUGAUGGAACCCUACUGAGGACAAAAUGAAACAGGCUCUGUGGAAGAGGAAAGAGAGGGAGUGUCCGAGUGAGCAUCCCGGAAGCCAACCCUCCAAAAAAGUGGAAACGCGGGCCUGCUGAGGUGAAGAGCCAGAGUACUCUGGGCAGUAGAAGAGCUGGGGUCUACUUGAGAUAAAAGACUCUGACGCACCGGAGGCUUAGCCUUCACCUUUCUCCAUGGGACUAACUUGCCAGAACAAGCUGUUCCUCAACAAGAGAACACAUCAUCUCCCAGAACUUUCAAAACUUCUUCCAGUUCUCACAGGAGCAAAUGCCUGGAGUCUUCCCACUUUCCACAUCAGGAGGUUUACCUACUUCCAGAACAUGCUGCUCUACAGACAUAUGAAGCUACAAACAUUGGAAUACCUGGAUCCUAGGUUUAGAAACAGCACUGGCUGAGACUUGCUUCUUUGGAAACAAACCAGGCCCCAUUCCAGGAGGAUUUUCACGUGCAAGGUGAAUGGACACCAACCAGAGACUAGAGACACUGAGAACAGGGACCCCCUGUGUUGCUCCGUCUCCUGAGUGAGAGGGCAAGUGUGCUUUUAAGUGUGGGAUAUUUGAGUUCUUUUGUGUGAGGUUUCUUUGAAACUGUGCAUUUCCACUCAUGAAACAAAUGGUGCCAUAGAAUGCCUGGCACUAAGGUAUAUAAACGAUUCACUGAAACCUUCUUGACAUUUGUGCUAUCUCACAACAUAUGUACUUCAAGGCGAUACUAGAGCAUUGUAAUAAAGUGGUCUUUUGAUGACAU